rnacentral:rRNA from 1 species
AUCAGCUUGCUGAUUUGCUGACGAGUGGCGGUACGGGUGAGUAAUGUCUGGGAAACUGCCUGAUGGAGGGGGAUAACUACUGGAAACGGUAGCUAAUACCGCAUAACGUCGCAAGACCAAAGAGGGGGACCUUCGGGCCUCUUGCCAUCGGAUGUGCCCAGAUGGGAUUAGCUAGUAGGUGGGGUAACGGCUCACCUAGGCGACGAUCCCUAGCUGGUCUGAGAGGAUGACCAGCCACACUGGAACUGAGACACGGUCCAGACUCCUACGGGAGGCAGCAGUGGGGAAUAUUGCACAAUGGGCGCAAGCCUGAUGCAGCCAUGCCGCGUGUAUGAAGAAGGCCUUCGGGUUGUAAAGUACUUUCAGCGGGGAGGAAGGGAGUAAAGUUAAUACCUUUGCUCAUUGACGUUACCCGCAGAAGAAGCACCGGCUAACUCCGUGCCAGCAGCCGCGGUAAUACGGAGGGUGCAAGCGUUAAUCGGAAUUACUGGGCGUAGAGCGCACGCAGGCGGUUUGUUAAGUCAGAUGUGAAAUCCCCGGGCUCAACCUGGGAACUGCAUCUGAUACUGGCAAGCUUGAGUCUCGUAGAGGGGGGUAGAAUUCCAGGUGUAGCGGUGAAAUGCGUAGAGAUCUGGAGGAAUACCGGUGGCGAAGGCGGCCCCCUGGACGAAGACUGACGCUCAGGUGCGAAAGCGUGGGGAGCAAAC